AGAUAGAGGCAAGUGGAAUUCCAUGUGUAGUGGUAAAAUGCGUAAAUAUAUGGAGGAACACCAGUAGCGAAGGCGGCUUGCUGGGUCUUUACUGACGCUGAGGCACGAAAGCGUGGGGAGCAAACAGGAUUAGAUACCCUGGUAGUCCACGCCGUAAACGAUGAGUACUAAACGUUGGGUAAAACCAGUGUUGAAGUUAACACAUUAAGUACUCCGCCUGAGUAGUACGUACGCAAGUAUGAAACUUAAAGGAAUUGACGGGACUCCGCACAAGCGGUGGAUCAUGUUGUUUAAUUCGAAGGUACCCGAAAAACCUCACCAGGUCUUGACAUGCUUCUGCAAAGCUGUAGAAACACAGUGGAGGUUAUCAGUUGCACAGGUGGUGCAUGGUUGUCGUCAGCUCGUGUCGUGAGAUGUUGGGUUAAGUCCCGCAACGAGCGCAACCCUUAUUGUUAGUUACCAGCACGUAAUGGUGGGGACUUUAGCAAGACUGCCAGUGAUAAAUUGGAGGAAGGUGGGGACGACGUCAAAUCAUCAUGCCCCUUAUGACCUGGGC
rnacentral:rRNA from 1 species